rnacentral:rRNA from 1 species
GAGUUUGAUCCUGGCUCAGAACGUACGCUGGCGGCACGCCUAACACAUGCAAGUCGAACGAAGUAGCAAUACUUAGUGGCAGACGGGUGAGUAACAUGUGGGUAUCUGCCCUUUGGCCUGGAAUAACACGAGGAAACUUGUGCUAAUACCGGAUAAGUCUUUACGGAGAAAGCUUUAUGCACCAUUGGAUGAGCCCGCACUUGAUUAGUUUGUUGGUGGGGUAAUGGCCUACCAAGACUGUGAUCAAUAGCUGAUUUGAGAGGAUGAUCAGCCACAUUGGGACUGAGACACGGCCCAAACUCCUACGGGAGGCAGCAGUGGGGAAUCUUGCACAAUGGAGGAAACUCUGAUGCAGCGAUGCCGCGUGAGUGAAGAAGGCCCUUGGGUUGUAAAGCUCUUUCGUCGGGGAAGAAAAUGACUGUACCCGAAUAAGAAGGUCCGGCUAACUUCGUGCCAGCAGCCGCGGUAAUACGAAGGGACCUAGCGUAGUUCGGAAUUACUGGGCUUAAAGAGUUCGUAGGUGGUUGAAAAAGUUAGUGGUGAAAUCCCAGAGCUUAACUCUGGAACUGCCAUUAAAACUUUUCAGCUAGAGUAUGAUAGAGGAAAGCAGAAUUUCUAGUGUAGAGGUGAAAUUCGUAGAUAUUAGAAAGAAUACCAAUUGCGAAGGCAGCUUUCUGGAUCAUUACUGACACUGAGGAACGAAAGCAUGGGUAGCGAAGAGGAUUAGAUACCCUCGUAGUCCAUGCCGUAAACGAUGUGUGUUAGACGUUGGAAAUUUAUUUUCAGUGUCGCAGCGAAAGCGAUAAACACACCGCCUGGGGAGUACGACCGCAAGGUUAAAACUCAAUGAAUUGACGGGGANCGCACAAGUAGUGNGCAUGUGGUUUAAUUCGAGAUACGCGCAGANCUUACAACACUUGACAUGUUCGUCGCGACUCUAGAGAUUAGAGUUUUCGGUUCGGC